UGUUCCCACCCGGGAUCGAACCGGGGACCUUGUGCGUGUGAAGCACACGUGAUAACCGCUACAUCACGGAAAC
rnacentral:tRNA from 1 species